rnacentral:lncRNA from 1 species
CUUAAGAAGCCAAGAGGCUGAGAAAAUGCAUUGGAAGAAAAGGCAACUUAAUUUAAUAGACACAGCUUUAAACUAAAUGAAUACAAAAAAAAUAACCCAGAAAUAGGUCCCAGUAAAAGGAUUACAAAUCACUCUGAAUUGCAUUUUAAGAGUCCUCUCAAUCUCAAUACUGGCUACAUAUGCUUACAGAUGUGAUCUGACAUGCCACUUCAAGGAGGGGACAGAUGCCCUCAGGGUACAAACAUACAUCCUGAGCAUAAUUCAGGCUUAUCAGAAUCUAGCUAUUGCUCUGUGAAAGUCUGAUACUUCACCGCACUGAGAACAUGAUUAUAGAAGUUGAGCAUGUCUGGCUAGAAUACUCUACAUUCUUCUCUCAUAACACUAAUUGGCUACGAGUUUUGUUCAAAAGAAGUAUGCUAAAUCAACAAACAAGAAAUAUUUUGUUACCUUUCAAAUGCUAUUUUUAUUCCAUGUUUCCCUGUGUGUACACUUUCAGUAGUAAGCAAGCAGAUUAAAGCUGUUCAGUUCUGAUUAGCUCUUCUAAUAGUCUCAGUAUGGCUGUUAUGAACAUCUUUUCCCAAAAGCUUACCAGAUUCUCUCUAUUGAGGUAUCUGUCUGGACUGACAUAGAGAUUAACAGUUCCUAAUCCACUUCUAAAUUCUCUAACUCAUAACAAGCUGCUCCUAUUACUUCACCUUGACAAUAUUUUUGGCAAUAGAAUAAGACUUAGCAUUUUAUCUCCCCAUGAUGCUGCAUCAACAUUAACCAACCCUCAUGCAACACUUCUACCUUGCAAGUACCUCAUUGGCACAUACGAAGUGAUGUAAGAUUACAAAUUGAGAUCAUUCAACAUUUAAACCCACUAUCUUUCUUGUUUGCAAAGCUGAUUCAACUUUAAGAAAACCCUUCUACCUCUUCAAUGCCAAUAGCUCUCAUGCUGUUCUAAAGCCAGCAGAGGUGGAAGUGGCACCACAGGUCCCUAGAACAAUCAGCUUAGGGAGCAAAGCAUGA